GUGGGGAAUCUUGCGCAAUGGGCGAAAGCCUGACGCAGCCAUGCCGCGUGGAUGAUGAAGGUCUUAGGAUUGUAAAAUCCUUUCACCGGUGAAGAUAAUGACUGUAGCCGGAGAAGAAGCCCCGGCUAACUUCGUGCCAGCAGCCGCGGUAAUACGAAGGGGGCUAGCGUUGCUCGGAUUUACUGGGCGUAAAGGGCGCGUAGGCGGAUAGUUUAGUCAGAGGUGAAAGCCCAGGGCUCAACCUUGGAAUUGCCUUUGAUACUGGCUAUCUUGAGUAUGGAAGAGGUAUGUGGAACUCCGAGUGUAGAGGUGAAAUUCGUAGAUAUUCGGAAGAACACCAGUGGCGAAGGCGACAUACUGGUCCAUUACUGACGCUGAGGCUCGAAAGCGUGGGGAGCAAACAGGAUUAGAUACCCCGGUAGUCC
rnacentral:rRNA from 1 species